UACGUAGGGGGCAAGCGUUGUCCGGAAUCAUUGGGCGUAAAGCGCGUGUAGGCGGCCCGGUAAGUCCGCUCUGAAAGUCGGGGGCUCAACCCUCGGAUGCGGGUGGAUACUGUCGGACUAGAGUUCGGAAGAGGCGAGUGGAAUUCCCGGUGUAGCGGUGAAAUGCGCAGAUAUCGGGAAGAACACCUGUGGCGAAGGCGGACUCUCUGGGACGGUACUGACGCUGAGACGCGAAAGCGUGGGGAGCAAACAGGG
rnacentral:rRNA from 1 species